rnacentral:rRNA from 1 species
GACAGAGGUGCCAAGCGUUAGGCGGAAUCACUGGGCUUAAAGCGUGUGUAGGCGGAUCGUUAAGUACCUUGUGAAAUCCCACGGCUCAACCGUGGAACUGCUGGGUAUACUGGCGGUCUUGAGCCACCUAGGGGCAACUGGAACAAGCGGUGGAGCGGUGAAAUGCGUAGAUAUCGGAAAGAACACCAACGGCGAAAGCACUCUGCUGGGCCGACACUGACACUGAGAGACGAAAGCUAGGGGAGCGAAUGGG